GUUCGUUGUUAUGAGCGUUCGGUGGAUGCCUUGGCAUUGGGGGCCGAUGAAGGACGUGGUGGCCUGCGAUAUUCCUCGGGGAGCCGGCUUGCGGGCUGUGAUCCGAGGGUUUCCGAAUGGGGGGACCCGGCGCCCGUUGUGGGGCGUCACCCGUGUCUGAAGUUCAUAGGGCGCGGGGGGUGACGCGGGGAAGUGAAACAUCUCAGUACCCGCAGGAGUGGAUAUUCCGUGAGUAGUGGCGAGCGGAAGCGGAUGAUGGCUGAAACCGUGUGCGUGUGAUGACCCGGCGGGGGUUGCGUGUGCGGUGUUGUGGGGCGUGUUCUUCCCGUUGCCGCCGUGGCGGGGCGCAGUGAGAAACCGGUUGGGUAGCCGAAUCCCCUGGGAUGGGGGGCCGUAGUGGGUGAGAGCCCCGUAGGCGGAACCCGGUCGGCUGCGUGGACGCGGCCCCUAGUAGCACGGGGCCCGUGGAAUCCCGUGUGAAUCUGCCGAGACCACUCGGCCGCCUGAAUACCUCCCAAUGACCGAUAGCGGAUGAGUACCGUGAGGGAAUGGUGAAAAGUACCCCGGGAGGGGAGUGAAAUAGUACCUGAAACCGGGCGCUCACAAGCCGUCAGAGCCCUUAAUUUUGUUUUGCCCGCCGGGAUUCGUCUCGUGUGGGUGGGGGGUGAUGGCGUGCCUAUUGAAGAAUGAGCCUGCGAGUCGCCGCCGUGUCGCGAGGUUAACCCGUGUGGGGGAGCCGUAGCGAAAGCGAGUCUUAAAAUUGUUGGGCGUUUUAGUGGCGCGGCGCGGACCCGAAGCGGGGUGAUCUACCCAUGGCCAGGCCGAAGCACGUGUAAGAGCGUGUGGAGGGCCGAACCCGCCUCAGUUGAAAAUGGGGGGGAUGAGCUGUGGGUAGGGGUGAAAGGCCAAUCAAACCCCGUGAUAGCUGGUUCUCCCCGAAAUGCAUUUGGGUGCAGCGUCCCGUGCUCCCCGGCGGAGGUAGAGCUACCGGUUGGCUGAUGGGCCCCACAGGGUUACUGGCGUCAGCCGAACUCCGAAUGCCGUCGGGUGGUGAGCGGGGCAGUGAGACCGCGGGGGAUAAGCUCCGUGGUCGAGAGGGAAACAGCCCGGAUCGCCGGCUAAGGCCCCUAAGCGCGCGCUAAGUGGGAAAGGAUGUGCGGUCGCGGUGACAACCAGGAGGUUGGCUUAGAAGCAGCCAUCCUUGAAAGAGUGCGUAAUAGCUCACUGGUCAAGUGGUCGUGCGCCGACAAUUCAGCGGGGCUCAAGCGCGCCGCCGAAGCCGCGGAUCCGCCGCUACUGGCCUGUCGCCCCCCUUGGGGGGUGGUGGGUGCGGCGGGUGGUAGGGGAGCGUCCCGCGUGGGGGGAAGCUUCCGGGUGACCGGGGGUGGACCGCGUGGGAGUGAGAAUGCAGGCAUGAGUAGCGAUACCGGGGUGGGAAGCCCCGGCGCCGUAUGACCAAGGGUUCCAGGGCCAGGCUAGUCCGCCCUGGGUGAGUCGGGACCUAAGGCGAGGCCGACGGGCGUAGUCGAUGGAUGACGGGUUGAUAUUCCCGUACCGGACCGGAUACCGACCGUGCUGACGUGCGGGUGCUGACCCACGCCCCGCGCCGCCCAUCGCGCCUCCCGGCCGGUUAUUCGUAACCGCGGGGGGCGGGCGGCGGGGGUCUGGGGACCCUCCGUGCAGGUAGGCAAGCGUAUUAACAGGGGUGACGCGCAGUGGUGGCCCCGCGGGUCUGAUGGCUCGGCCCGUUCAAGCGCGCAGCCCGCCGCCCAGGCAAAUCCGGGCGGCUGCCUUCAAUGGCGGGGGUGAGGCGUGACGGUGACCCGGCCCGGUGGGGUCGGGGAAGCAGGGUGAUCCUGUGGCGCCUAGAAAAGCCUCGACGCGAGGGGCCGGUCCGCCCGUACCCCAAACCGACACAGGUGGUCGGGCAGAGUAUGCCCAGGCGCACGAGCGAACCGUGGUGAAGGAACUCGGCAAAACGCCCCCGUAACUUCGGGAGAAGGGGGGCCCGAACCCUGAAACGGCUGGCCCGUUAGGGGCGAGGGCCGCAGAGGCCAGGGGGGAGCGACUGUUUACUAAAAACACAGGUCCGUGCGAAGCCGUAAGGCGAUGUAUACGGACUGACGCCUGCCCGGUGCUGGAAGGUCAAGAGGACCCGUCAGCCCCCCUUGCGGGGGUGAAGCGGUGAAUUCAAGCCCCAGUGAACGGCGGUGGUAACUAUAACCAUCCUAAGGUAGCGAAAUUCCUUGUCGGGUAAG
rnacentral:rRNA from 1 species